CCCAUUUUUGUCCCCUCCGUAACCCUCUCCCUUCUCUCUUCUCUCUAUUCUCUAUUCUCUAUUCUCUCUUUCUCUUCCUGAUUUGAACUUCCUAUCUGAUUUCGCCGCCGCACACGGCGGAGACGCCACCGAGACCACCGUACGCUCGCCGAGAUCCGCCCGAUUCCGGCGGCCCUUCCGGAUCUCCUUUCACCUCUUCCAAGGGUUAAUUAAAAAUUCUCGCUGCUGACGUGGCGAGCCUGGGAUUGAUCGAGUAAGAUUAGAUUAGUGGAAACGGACGGUGGAGAUGAGUUAUCACGCGCGGCGAUUCUUGCCACCUGGGGGGGCGUCGAGGAAACGGAAAGAGAGGGAAACGGCGUCUUAUCCGACGUGGCCGUCAAGUCCAGUGACGGCCGUUAGCAGUCCCAGUCAAAAGGCAACGACGUCGUCGAAGCAAGCCGAGCCGGCCUCGUCUAACCGGCUCCUAGCCGGGUACAUGGCUUAUGAGUUCUUAACUAGCGGAACUCUGUUCGGGCAGAAGUUCGACCCGGCUCGAGCCGAGGCCGUCCCAGUGAACAACAACAAUAACCUCUCCUCCGAGUUGAAACGGGGCAGUAAGCCGGGUCAGGGCCCGACGAGCCAGGAACCCGAGCCGAGCCAAGCUUACAUUGAAGUGGCGACCCUACUGAAGAACGACGGGGCCCACAUCCCCGGUGUAGUCAAUCCAAUGCAGCUGGCACGAUGGAUUCAGAUGUGACACCAUGGUGGAGAACCGACCUCGAGGGUGACGUGGCAGCUUUUCAUUGGCCCAAAGUCGCGGCUCACGUAAGAAACCAUAGAACCGCCCUUACCUUUAUAAAACUUCUCCUCCCUCUUUAGCGCUUUCGUAGGUGGCGGGCUUGUGAAAAACGCAAAAAAAAAAAAAAAAAAAAAAACUUGCAUGGCCGCCAUGAAAGCCAGGAGAAAAACUCAACGUUUUGUUCAUGCUUAUCCUCUUUUUCUUUUUUAUGAAAAAAAAAAUCUGGGUCUUUCUCUUUCAUUAAAAUACUCUUUAAUUAGAUUGUUAUACCAUAUAUCCUUCUUUUACUUA